GAUGAAGACGCAGCGAAAUGCGAAAAGUAAUGUGAAUUGCAGAAUUCAGUGAAUCAUCGAAUCUUUGAACGCACAUUGCGCCCGCUGGUACUCCGGCGGGCACGCCUGUCCGAGCGUCAUUUCAACCCUCAAGCCCUCCUUCGGGAUGGGCCUGGUGUUGGGGCUCGGCCGCCAUCUCCGGCGGCCGUCCCCUAAAUACAGUGGCGGUCACGUCGCGACUCCUUUGCGUAGUAGAAACACCUCGCUCCGGAUAGCAACGCGGUCCACGCCGUAAAACCCCCAAUUUUCAAUGGUUGACCUCGGAUCAGGUGGGAAUACCCGCUGAACUUAAGCAUAUCAAUAAGCGGAGGA
rnacentral:misc_RNA from 1 species